GAUGCUUGGAUCAAUCUGGUUCAAGCAUAUCGCAAGCACCAGAACGAAAAAAGCCCCGGGUAAUAUAUUCAUAUUAACCGAGGUGGACUCAAACACAAACAAUUUGUUUCUGCCUCCCUUUUUAUAGGAGUGUAAGAGGAAA
rnacentral:antisense_RNA from 1 species